rnacentral:lncRNA from 1 species
UUUCAGAUACUGAGCGGCGCCUUCUCACCGUGGUCGUGCAUAAGGUGAAGCUCAUCCUCACACCCAAGAAAGAGGACGGCCUGAAAGCAAUGGCGGUGCCCGACAACACUGGCUACACCCAGACCACGGACAGCACCACCGAUGUCAUCACCGUCAACUUCGGCACCCUCUUCGGUGGAGAGUCGCGCAAGGUCACCAUCAAGAUGAUGCCCUUGGACUGCCCCUUCGGAAGGACGCGGCACAACUCAGGGCGAAAUAAACAACCCACAGUUGGAGGCUACGUGCAGCAGCUACACGAUAAAUCUAUCUAGUAUUAACCACAACAACAACAAUUGAAGGUACAACAGAUAUAACAUCUACUCAAGAAAUUAGUACAGCAACAUCAGAUUAUUAUGGGAUGCCAUCAUCUUGCAAUAACAGCAAGAACAGCAACACAUCUAGCUUAACUCAACCUCGGGUCCUAGCAGCACCUGCUGGGUGGACAUUCCAGUCCAAACCCAACUCCACAAGCACACUGCUUACUGAUUUGCAACCUUCAUGCAGGCGGAACAUCGACAACAACAAAUAAUAGUAAAAGACAAGGGAGGGAGGGAGGUGCCUCCGUUUGCCAUCGAUAGCAAUAGAUCCAGGUUGUGGUCACAGCCUUCUUCGUGCCAUCAGCUUAAUCAACAUCGCCUCCUGCACCCGGUGUGGUGUCAGGCGCUUCUUCAUCAGGCUGAUUUGCUGCUGCUCGUCCUAAUACCUGCAUGGACAAGUGGAGGUUAGUUACAUGGCAAGCACAUAAUAAAACAAACUGCAAUGCAUGUAUGUUCAUCUACAUUGUAGAGUACAGACGAUGGGGUUGACUUCAAAUGUUUGCUCCUAUAGUACUUAGGCAGACGGAAAAUAACCUACAAGCUAAUACCAUGUUACAAGCUGAUGGGAAAAUAACCAGCAUUUAUAAGAUUUUUUACACACGCACAAGUCAACCAUGUCAUGGUGAGCUGCAGGCAUGAGGAGUAUAUGGUUGUACAUAUCAAAAGAAGAACCUACUUGGACCAACAUAACAACCUGAAUAACCUACAAGCUAAUAAUAACUGACCGAUGCUUAAUUUUGUCAAGGAAUAAAACGAUGCUCGCAUUUGGUUGAGUAUUUAAACCUAUAAGGUGGCUUUCCAAUUCGUCUUCCCGGUGCUCCCCCGAUUUGCAUCGUUGUCAUCUGUUAGAUCUUGGUCAAACUCGUUUUUAUUUCGCUGGUUGCCGUUGGAUCGUCGCUGGAAAUCUAUUGUUCCCGUUUUGACCGCUCAGUGAGUUCAGAGUGGGGGAUGACGUGUGGGCUCGGGAAGAGCCUGAUUGGCUGGUUCUCCCGUUUUUGGGAGCGCGGGCAGCCUCUCCUGCCACGCCACAAGCGAGCAUCGUAGGCGCUGCACGGUUUCGGUUUCUGCUUUCCGCUCGCCCCUCUGGAUGCAUGCGAGAUAGGGGUGAGUCCACGCAUGCACACCCGCGUCUUCCUACCACAAGAUGAUGGGUGGGCCAGAUUGCUGCUGGUCCUACACGUCAGCUGGUGGGCUGCGUGCAAGCCAUAUCUCUUCGAUUAUUCUGGGGCUGGAGAGAGUUGUUGGCUGACUACUGCACGUGUUGUGCCGAGGUUGUCCACUCACGCGUCUUCUCUCCAGGUCAUCCGGCGCAUCCGGUGCGCUCGCCUUUUUUGUCGGGUCAUCCGGCGCAUUUCGUUUAGUUUGUUUAGAGAUAAGGCACCGUGUCUGACUUCAUAAAUAAAGCCAUCAACGGCAAGAUCAAGUCACACUG